UGCAUAGUAUUCCUGAAGAAGGAAGAAUUCCAUCUAAAAGAGAAGGCAUGACAUUCGUCGACGAAGGACUGAACUGCUUUGAGCUUCAUUCUAGCAUCCCAAGUGAUCAAUUUGAAUUAGUCAGACCUAGAGUAGAUCACUUUAAUAAUCAAUACUGAGUCCGAGAAUAUCUGAAUUCAUUCUCCUGAGUAGGUACCCAAAAGGAAUUUGACUGCUUUCGACACUACUUCAAUUUCAACUGACAGCGCAUUAUAAACAUCUUCGACAAGGAAACCAAUUCUACCCGAAUCGCCUCCUUUUCAACUAUCGCACGUCUAUCUAGACCUGCAAU
rnacentral:lncRNA from 1 species